UGCUCCCUCCUCCUGGGCAGUCCUUAACUUAUGACCUCAUUUAUCUGGUCCAAUGGAGGCCAGUACCUGUUGGCUGUCAGCCAAACAAUUUGAAAUGCAUCACUAGUUUCUGGGCAGACUGGCAGUUCCCAGCUCCUCAGGGAGCAAGCCCCUCACCCAAGUAUGUGAUGCCAGUCACGUAGGCAGAGGGAGCAGGUUUCCCCCCUCCCUCAGGAAUGUAUCCAGCUCAGGUUACCUAAAGAGAUAGGGUAAGGUGUAUACCCUCUGCAGGGCCCAUCUUAACCAAAUUGUCACAGAGCCGAGUUUUUGGGGAGAAACAGAGGUGGCCUUCUGCCACAAUCCUUAUACUAAGAGAUCAGUGUCCUAUAGGAGAUAUGGUCUGACUGGGGAUUAGGACCUAUAGGAGAGAAUAUGGACAUGAGUCAUAUGGGAACUAUGACACCCCUGAGGCACCAUGGCAGCUUGAGCAGACAUACAGGUUAAUGGCCACCCAAAAGGAGCAUGUUUCAGCACUGCCAAAUCAACCUUUAUAUUUACCUUCUGUUAAAUAAGUGUUUGAAACAGGCUUGCACAGACUGCAUGAUAUGUGUAUAGCAUCAAGGGUCCAGUUCCUGACUUCAGCUGGAGUUUGCCUAAGAGAAAACCUCAAGAUGUUAAAAUCUGUCCCUUUGGGAAAUUACUUGCCUUUUACUUUUACUUUGAAAAAGUCAACUCCUAGCCUUACAGUUUGCUGUUCUCAUACUCAAAGUAUGAGUAUACUCAUCACAAAGUAGCAAAACAGAAAGCAUCAAGGUGGCAAAAAGGAGGUUCUCAGGCUACUUGUUAAUGGUUCUUUAGUUAACACUAUUAACGGUACACAUUAAUUCAUAACAUUUUCUAUCACAGCUUCAGAACUAUACAAGUCAGUCCAUUUAAAAAGGGUGAUAGUUGCUACCUUCUACUGUGGCUGCCCCCAAGCAUUGCAGUAACACUGUUGUACACUACUGUACUGCAUCAGUAUUUCAAAAUACCAAAGGAUAUUAUAAAGUAUUCUAGACCACACUGUUACAUUUCCCUUUGCAGUUUAGACCACCCCUGGAAAAUACAUAAGAAUUAUUUUAGCUUUAAAUACUAUUACUAUAGUUUUGCUGUUAAUUAUUUAAAGCAAAUUUAUGACUUACUAGAUUUUGCACUGGAACGUUUGGAAAAAUGAAAGCUCUAUUUACUGCUUGGCAAAAAACAGAGGUACUAGACCAGUGGCAGAACCAUUUAGGAUGCCAACUUGUUCAUUUGCAGAGACACCGAGGCUCUAAUUCUGCAAAAUUUUACUCAGGGGAGUAGCACUAUUGACUAUGCAGAUGACCACAGUUAAGUCCUAGUUAUGAUUUAAACAUAAAGGGAACCCAAUGCUUCUUCUAGAUGGGAAUGAAUUUUACUCCAUGUGAAUAAAGGUAAAGCUUUGAAUUUAGUGCUGGUGAAGACAGUCAGAUUGAUAGUCCUGGAGCCUGAAGUCAUCUGUCCUUGGAACAGGCAACAGUCACGGAUCUUCUUUUCCCCAAACUUUCCUGUUUCUAAUCACCAUGGCCAUUAUGUCGCCUCACAGAGCAAAAAGGGAGUUGUGUUUCUAUAGCCAUUUCAUUGUGCAGCAGGGUCACACCUUUUGAUCAUGUUUUCCAUUUUUAGUUACAUGUCAGAGGACAUAGUUGGGAUGUCUAAUAAAACAGCUGUUUAGGUGAGUCAGGAACUGCUGUCUGUGAGUUGGGAGCUUAAGCUGAAUUUGAUUGCCACUUACACCAUCAUUCCAUCUUGUAUUAGUCCUUUUUUUCUUUUUUUUUUCUUUUUUACAAGGUAUUGCUGCAUUUUAUACCAGCUCAAAGAUUUCUGCUAGUUCCUGGAAAUGUGGUUGGAGACCUCUCAGUGCUGUGAAGAAAGAUGAAGCCACUAGAAAACCAUAGAUAGAAACUGUUUGUCAAGGCUUCCUCAACAUAGCAGCACUUUCUAAUACCACUGGCCUGAAGUGCUUUGAUUGAGUCUCGCAACCACUUCAAGAGGCAGAGAAGCAUUCUCAUCCUGGCUUUAUAGGUUAGGUGUCGUGACCUGAUUGUUGUUAAGCUGUGGCUCAGUGGCAGUAGGAGGGUCCAGCUGCCAUAAUGACCAUAGCAGAAGGGCCCUGUCAGAUCCGAAGAAAUAUGCAAAUUCUGCUAAAUGCCUGUCAUCUACAAUCUCAGACAGGACAUGAAAAGAAGUAACAGAACUAGAAGCCCUGCAGUUCUGCUGUCAUUAUCUAACCUUUAGGAACCACUGCCUCCUCAAAAUUGACUUACACACAGAUAGAAGUAGCCUGCUCAACCUGGGGUCAGCUUCCCCAGGCACAGCAGGGGAUAGCUGCUCUGAGAGGAACUUACGAACAGUUAUGAGGAAACAUUAAGGUAGAGAAAUAAGGGGAAAUACAUGCAUAGAGCUCUGUUGUGCUCACCCAUUGCAUGCUGUGUACCUGUGGGAGAAAGACAAGGCAGUGCUUCAUUUGCAGAUAUUGUUUCGGUGUUGUUGAAAACUUAUUAUUAGUAGUAUUUAUUUUUCUUGCCUAGGACCUGCAAUUAUAGACCCUAGUGUUCAAGGUUCUGUAAAAACACAGAGCCAAAAAGAUGGUCCCUGCCCCAAAUUGCUUACAAUCCAAGAAAAAGACAAUUGCAGCAGACGGUUACAGGCAGAUGGUUGGAGGAGUAUGAGGAAGCAAUGAGACAAUAUUAGUCAGCAUGAUAGACAGUGGUCUCAGCAGCCUAGCAGUUAAUUUUUUUUGUGGGCUUUGUGGCAAAGGAGAAUUUUAAGGAGGAAUUUGGAUUAAAACACAGAGUUCUGUGGAUGUUUACUAGGGUGCUCCCAAGCAUUAGAAGCAGCUUGGGAGAAAGUAUAAAGGUAUAAUCUAAGAGGGCUGACAUCAUGGGCUGCUUGAAGAUAAGUGUCAGUCUUUGGUAAUGUGGGGUUAGGCCAUUAAGGGUCUUGAAAGUGAAGGGGAUUUGAUAGCAAAGGGAAAGCUAGUGGAGGGAUUCAAAGAGAGGUUUGGCCAGGUCAAAGCAACAGGCAAAGAGAAUUAUCUUUACCGCAGAAUGCGGGGUGGAUGUGAACAUGACAAGGCUGCAUUAGUCAAGGUUAGAAAAAGUCAUUGCAGCACUCACGAUGCAAGAUGGCAAAAGCGUGGAAAAGGGUUUUAUCUGGCAGGACAGAGGGGAAAUGCUAUGGUCUUAGAGGGGUAAUGGAGAGAGAAUAUGCAGAACUUUGACCCUGCCUGAGUGUCAAAGUGAGCCUCACAAAAGAAAACUCUUACAGGUGCCAAACUCCAUUGGGACUAGUACAAGACUGGAUCUAGCACCCAGAGCUCCAAGUGCAGAGGGAUUACACAGCCUGGUUGUACCUAGACAGGGGUGAAGGUACUAAGCCCUAGCCCUGCAGGGAUGCAGGCAAGAAGGGCUAGAAGGAGAGUAAAUCUGGCUCACCCUUUUCCCACAACAACAGCAUGCAGGUCUGGACACUUUAGUGUCCAGUCACACUGAUAAUGUGAAAGAGGUUUGUGGAAGAAGUGCAGAAAUGCUUUGGGAAUUGAUUGGAUUGACUUAGCCUGAAUCAGAUGACCUGAAUACAUGAAGCUUCUCUAAAAGAUGACUCAGUUUGGGAGCAUCUUCAGAACAGACUGUAAAUAUCUGAAGAGCUUAACCUUUGGGAAGGAAGAGGAGUUAGUUCUUGGGGUAAGUGGGGGUAUAACAAAGGAUCAUGAAGGGAAAUUAAGCAAGUGAAAAUGUAGACUGGAUCAUAGGUAGAACAGCCCAACAGUGAAAUUUGUCAGGUUCUGACACAAACCUACUGAAGUCAGUAGGUGUCUUUCCAUUAACUUCAAUGGGUUUGGAUUAGUCAUUAGAUUGUAGAACAGGCUUGCAAAAGAUGUGAAGCAAGUCUCAAUGCUUUGAACAGUCUGCAGGAGACUGAAAUAAACACUAGUAAGGAUAUAAAUGGAUAAAACUUGCAGUGGCAGGAAAACAGACUUAAUGACAAAAUAAUAGGGCUGUGUGAAGCUUUGGGUGCUGAUUCAAUUUGGAGGAGAUUUGGCAGCCAAAUCUACGAAUCUGAAUCAAAUCAGGAGACCAAUUAAUUUUUCAAUUUGGAAAAGAUUUGGAGAGCUUCAGCAAUUCAGGCAGUCCCUGCUUGCUGCCGCAGAGAGCUGGACCUGGACUCUGUGCUGGUAAGUAGGGGCGGGGGAGAGGAGGGUGGAGGAGACCACGGGGGGACCCCUGUCAGACCCCAACCCCUGCCUGCUCCCUCAGUCCUCCUGAGUGCCCCCCAACCCCCGCCUGCUCUCCCAGCCUCCCCCUACAUGGCUGCCCUGCCCACCCCAGCUCCCGGAUCUUUAAGAAAAAGCCCCUAUACACCGGCUGCUGCCAGGCAGUGGGCUAAUCCCUGCUGCCCCCCACUGCCCCACACUGCAUGGGGGGCUCUGCCAUGAGCCCCCUGACCUCUACCUGCUCUCCCAACACCCCUGCCAUGGCUGCCCCAUGUGGCCCCAGCUCCCAGGUCUUUAAAACAUUUUUUUUUAAAGCCCUGCACUCAUUGGCUGCUGCAGCGGCCAUCGGGGCUUCUAGGGGUUUGUGGUAGAGCCCCCGACACAGCACGGGGCAGCAGGGAUCAACCCCACCCCUGGCAGCAGCCGGUGAGUGGAGGCUUUUUUUCUUUUUUUUUUUACAGAGCUGGGAGCUGGGAGAGCAGGCAGAGGAUAGGGGCUCAUGACAGAGCCCCCCACACAGUGCAGGGCAGCAGGGAUCACCCCCAACCUGGCAGCAGCCAGUGAGUGCCAGCAUUUUUUUCAAAAAGCCGGGAGCUGGGGCAGGUGGGGCAGCCAUUGCUGGGGCUAGGAGAGCGGGCAGGGGCUGGGGCCAAUUCACUAAUGCACAUGGAGCUAUAUAGUAUGUUUGAGAACAUUGCUAUUGCCAGUGUGACCGUCUUGCUUCUAAUAUCCAUUCACGCGCCACCUUGGCAUGUGUGCCUGGUGUUGGGCACAAUGAGGUCUCAUGCAACCUCUGAAGGGGGCCUCGAUCACUCUGGGGAAGACCCCAGAACUUUCCUGCCACGACUUUCAAUGUAUCCUCAGUGGUGGGGUCUCCUAUUGGAGGUCCCUCAAGAUCGGUCAUUCCUCCCAAUGCAUGUUUGUGGUGCUCCACCUCCCCCACACCCCUUCCAUAGGCCAGGCUUCGACAGGCCACCUGAUCUUGAUGCAGCUUGCCCCCUGGUCUUGUUGGUUCUUAGUUUUUGUGCCCUUUUUGGUAACUGGUCUUAUUUUCUUACUAUUGAACUUGGGGUCUGCUGGGUGUCCACCUCUCCUGCAUGCCUCCCCAGCUGUAUACCGGCUGCCUGAUGACUCUUGCAUGCAGCUUCUGUUUUUAGGGUAUCACCCACACCCCGUCAAAGUAGGGCUACAGACAAUGGAAAAAAGAAAAAGGAUAAAAAGAAAACAACAAAGGAACAUGCACAGUCAAAAAGGGGAAAAAGGAAAGACACAAAAGAAAAGAGGGCUGACGAGGAAGGAGAGGUCAGGCUGAAUAGCCCUUCCUCACUCCCAGCCCUAGAGCCUGUGCCUGGCCAUGUCCCACAACACUGCUCCACUCUACGCCUCUGUCAGGAUCUUCCUCCACUCUCCCCCAGGUCGAAUCCUCUCCUGCAUGCCGGUGCUGCCUAUGACCAGUGUGGAGAGCUUCUGCAGCCUCCGCUGCCUUGGAUGUACCCUUCCAAGCAGGAUCUUCCUCUACACACUGGUGCUGCCUGAGGCCAGUAUGGAGAGCCUCUGCUGUCUCCCAUGCUCUCCUCUCUUUCCUGCAGGUGCUGGCUUUUAUUCCAGCUGAGCAGUGGUCAUUAAUGACAUCACCCACCCGUGCCAACUCCAGCUGUAGAUAAGCAUGGCUGACGAACCGUGCAGGCGUUUCUUCCUGGCAUAGUUCAUCCUGCAUCUGAUGUCCUAAAGCUAUUUCAGGUAGGAAAGGGGGAAGACUGGCUCCUGGGCCUGGCUGAUGAAGUAACAACCUACUACAGGACUCCUGCUCUGAACCAUGAAGAAGGUAGCAAUAAUAACAAUAAAGACUUGUAUGAGCAGCAGUAUAACUGCCCCAGGCAGGCUGUCAGUGCUACCCUGAGGCUUCCAGUAUAAAUUAAUUGUAUUUAACUCAGAAAGCUGGUUCAAGUACAGUAAAUCUUCCAUAAUAGUUACAGUGAAAAAAAUCCGCUUGAUGAAACCUCGCAAUUAAGGUUUCAGAUGUCAGGACAGAGUGUAGUACUUUCCAAUUACAUAUAAUUACUAAAGAGUCCUUUAUUCUGGUGCUGUUAUGAAAACACAACUUAAAAAAAAUAAUUUUCAUUAUGUUAUUUAGCAUGCUUGACUAGGAUCCAUAGCAUAUCUCAAUCUACAGUUCCAUCAGAUCUAAACAAGGUAAGGCAGUAUGUAGUACUUGAAUGGGAAACUGCUUCAAAGGGCCUUCAGUGACUCAACAGGAAGUUGCGUGCUUCCUUCUGAAUCAAUACUGAGUCUCUGCAUUGGGCUAGGGGCACUGUUCUACUGGAGAAGCCAUAUUUUAAGUGAGUUGUAAAGCUGAUUUCUCCUUUUCAAUGUAGUUUUUCUGAUAUUUUCUCCAGAUAAGGUUGUUAGAGCUACUGUCUCAGCCAAACUCAAACUUGAUUACAUCUGUGCUAUCUUCUUUUUAAUGGACUUCUUGAAGAACAAGUAAAGUGGAUUGGAAACUUUA